UCGAUACCUGCGUGACUAUAAAAGUACAUAUGUAUGUAAACUAAUGAGUCUCGAUUUAGCAUAGUUUACUUAGCAUAUAAUUUCAUUUCGAAAGGUAACACAAUAUUUAAGAGUGCCCAAAUUCUUGGAUAAAUUGCUUAAUUCGCCCAUUAUUAAGAUAUCAAACCCAUAUCAUUGCUUCAAACAAAAUUCCAACCAGAGUAAAUAAGUCGGAGCUCUGUCCAAGUCUCCACUUUAUUCGGUACAUAUAUCGACAACUGAAACUUGUUCAAUCUAUCCUCUUUAUAGAAAAGACGAAUAAUUUUACCCCCAUAAUAACCAUGAAGUUUGUCCUCAUGAUUGGAGCCGGUCUACUAUUUUUGUCUCUGACAAAUUGUUACGUAAUUCAACAGUACGACAAGCCGUUAAAUAACGAGACAAACUGGGAAGCCACAGAUUACGCAGGACACAAUCAAACUGAACUUCUUCAAACUUUACCAAUACAUCAGCGUUUUCUGCAUAAGCUAAAUCAUGCCCGGUCUAAAACCAGGGCUGGGCAAGAGCCAGAACAAGGGAAGCGUUACAACUGUAAAGGACGUAUUCCAAGGUUAUCAACUCGACUAAUAAAAAAUGCUGACGUAAUUAAUUGCCAACGACUUAAAAUACUUUUCAGAAAGCUAAAAAGACGCUGUAAAGGGUACGAUACUGAGGAACAACUUCUCACCAAAUCUGUCGAUCUUGCCGAAACCAUAUUAGAAAAGUUGUACAGAGUCAGAAUUAACAAACAAGUACUUACCGAUAAAGACAAGAAAACCAUGCGUCUUGAAACCGUUGCCGUUGCGGUCGAUGACGACUUCAAUGUCUACGUUGCAGCCAACUUAAAAUCCAAGAUGGAUAACCAUGAAAAAUCUACACGUUUGAAAACGUUGAAACAACAAGAAAGAAAAAGAUUGGAAAAGCGGGGUUUUACUGACCCUGACGAAAUAGAUCGGCGUAUUCAACAAUACGGGAGAGAAAUCGAAUCUGAUCAGCUUUAUUACACGAAAGACCAUGGAAUACAGGAAAGCGAGUAUGGUACGAUCUACAAAACGAUUGAAGAGGCCGGAUUUCCAUACAAGUCUGUAGUUAUUGUUGAGACUGAGAAAGCAUUCGACAACAAGAUGGAUAAUGCUAAGCCACACGCUGAAAUGAAACUGCUUAAAUGUUUGGAAACUAGCCACAAAGGGAAGUCCUUCCUUACUGUAGCACCAUCUAAAGGGGCGUGUCAUCUUUGCGGCGGCGAACUGGGCAAGAGACAAGUUCCAACCAAUGAAGAAGGAUCAAACACAGGCGUCCCACCUGACAGGUGGCAUGCUCCGUCGGUAAUACCGACCUUGAAGGCGGUCGGGUAUAGCAAUACGUGACAUCCCCAUCCGAAGUGAUUACAAAUGCUGCAAGACGUACUCAAUCCUAUCAUAACGACCGAGAAUACAGUACCGGAUGUUGUAAUUAACACGCCACAUAUGACCAGCAGUUUCCCAGCAAUUCAGUUUCAGGAAUCAGAAGACGGGGAUUAAUCUUUGCAUGCAGAUGUAAACACAAAAUGCAUGAAUAAUAAAAGUAAUGGAUUGUUUUUCUACUGGGAAGGAGAUGAACGGGUGGGAAGUGUGUAGUGCAAUCAAUGUGAAAGCCAAAAUGGACACUUAUUUGUCGAUUUGUUGCUUUCAGAUAAGACCAUCUAUGUCCAACCACGUCGUGGAAGAGAUAAAAAAUGAACUAACCACAUAUUAGUAGGCUAUUCCACAACAAAUGCAUCACAAUACCUUAAAGGAGUGUGAAGCAUAGCUGUAUUGCUCAUUGGGACGGUACGCACGACGAUAGGGGUUGUGGAAUUAGGUAAUAAUGAGUCAGUCAAGCCUACAAUAAACCGUAGUAACGUUAGAAGCAGCUCGUCCUGUAAUACUUCAGUGACAACGUAAGUUGGCACAUACAUAUGUACAAUUCUGCACCGAUGGUGCAAAAUAAAUAUCCAAAAAAAUGCAUGAUUUUAAUAGAUGCUUACACCCGUUGUAGAAAAUAAUCUGACAAAAUAGACGCAUAAUUAUCGUGGGGUUUUGCACCAAUGGUGGAGAAUAAGCGGGGAAAAUACACCCAGAAAUUUGACAUGAUUUCGACUAUUUAAGACCCCCCUCGUGGGGUUGUAUUUCUGUCGGUUAUUCUGCACUUUUGCUGCGUAUUGAAUCAAUUCUCCCAAUUGUUUGGCAACAUUUUGUGUUAUCGCUUGCUCGAUACGAAUGGUGCUCGAUAUGAAUUUCCUAAAAAUUGGACAUGGGCCUAUUUAAUUAGCAUCAAUUGAUGCAAAAAACUCAUUAACAGACAGACGGACAGACGGACAUUAGGAAUUCAAUAGCUCUCAUGCUACGCAGGACGAGCUAAUAAUUCACAUCAGCUAAUACUAUACUCGCGAUAAAUGGGGUGCAUUUUGUUUGACUAGGUUUUUUUAAAAACCGGAGAUAUGGAUUACAAUCCGGACGAAGCAUACAUCGUUAACGUGUACAUGAGGAGUAGAAGUAGAGUUAUGAUCUUCAAAAUGGGUUUAAGAGGUAUUUUUAUACCAUCACUCAUAAUAUGAAUAAAAUGGGGGCCGAUUUCCAAAUUCAAAAAUGGAACUCGAAUAUCCGUGGCGAAAUCCACUGACCUGAGCGAAAAGCACCGACCUGGGCGAAGCGCACUGACCGCUCGUGUCCUGCUGAGGUCAAGGGCACGAGGUGAAGCACGAAGACACACGGUGCGUGUCAUACGAGACUGCGAAAAUCGUUUGAAAAUGCGAACAUCCAUGCGAUUAUGCAGAAGUCAUGCAGUAAUGCGCUUGACAAGUGAUAAUGCACUAUAUGUAAGCGAUGUAUGUAUGUGUCGCGACAUGCGACAUGUUCAAGACAUACAAAUUCAUGCUGGUGUCAUACGAUAUGUUUGCUUAGGAAGUACAUGUCCAAUAUGUGUGUCUAACAUAUUGACAAUGUGCUCGCGGUGCGAGUAUUAUUACAUUUAGAUGAGCCGAGCAAAGUAAUGCUCAAACUCUGCAAUGAGCAAACCCAGGAUUUGCUAACUUGCAAACUUUCGCAGACUUGCUGUUUAAAAAAGGUACUUAGAUUCUUCGUAGAAUGAAUACUAAUGAGUCUAAUCUGGUGUUAGAAUACUUGUCUGGAAAAAGAAGGGGCUGCUCCAUUUUUUUCUCCUGCAGCUCCACUGUCUCGUCUCAACAGCAGCAGCAGCAGCAGCAAGGCUUAAAUGGGAUAGAAAUUAUGAUGAAAGAACACCAGCAGCAGCGCUUGGAUUUGCGUCUCCCAAUGAAGGAAACAUGCCAGAUUUUCAAAUCGGAUGGACAGGUUCCGGUUUAUUUUUUUCGUGGGUUCUUCUUGAGUGGACCACCACCACGGUUUGUCAAGGAAGUCGCAACGAACAAGAAGGGGCUUAAAAGAGGGAAUAACUCUUGUGAUAAGGAAGAAGUUCACUUACUACCAAAGAAAGUGAGAAAGAAGUACAAAGAUUGGAUGUAAAACCCAUUGGAUUUGAACUGGAUUUGGUUGAUGAUGUAGUAAUUUCCAUUUAAUUGAUAUUAUUUAUGUAUCCUGAAUUAUGCUUAAUUUAUUCAUAAUUCGUAUAAAAUCAUAUAGUGGAAGGUCUGAUUUUGUUAAUCUACUUUUAUGGAUUUUACGUGUUUUUUGUUGUUCAAAAUUU